rnacentral:lncRNA from 1 species
UUAUCUUGAAUAUUAUUAUAGAUAGAGAUAAACUGUAAACAGCAAUAAUGUUUAGCAAAGUAAGAUCUACAAAUAAGUCAACAUGACCAAAAUGGUCAGUUGACCCCUUAGAGUAAUUGCCCUUUAUAGUCAAUUUUUAACCAUUUUCAUAAAUUUUGUAAAUUUUUUUCAAUUCUAACAAAAUAUUUUCCUCUGUAACUAAUGGGCC